rnacentral:rRNA from 1 species
CAGCCGCCGCGGUAAUACGUAGGUGGCAAGCGUUGUCCGGAAUUAUUGGGCGUAAAGGGCUCGCAGGCGGUUCCUUAAGUCUGAUGUGAAAGCCCCCGGCUCAACCGGGGGGGGUCAUUGGAAACUGGGAAACUUGAGUGCAGAAGAGGAGAGUGGAAUUCCACGUGUAGCGGUGAAAUGCGUAGAGAUGUGGAGGAACACCAGUGGCGAAGGCGACUCUCUGGUCUGUAACUGACGCUGAGGAGCGAAAGCGUGGGGAGCGAACAGGAUUAGAUACCCCCGUAGUCCCUGUCUCUUAUAA